AUACCGCGCUUUUAACGACACACACGCUUCGACACAUACGGUAGGGUCCCAAUAAGGGUGCUGUAUGGGAAGCGUGGAGGCAUAAC
rnacentral:sRNA from 2 species